rnacentral:rRNA from 1 species
CCAAUAGCGUAUAUUAAAGUUGUUGCAGUUAAAAAGCUCGUAGUUGAACUUCGGGGUUUACCCAUUGGUCAGGCUUGAUUGUCUGUACUGGUGAGAUAAAUCUCUACCUUCUGAGGAACUUUUAUGUCAUUAAUUUGAUGUGAUUGGAAAUCAGGACUAUUACUUUGAAAAAAUUAGAGUGUUUAAAGCAGGCUAACGUCUGAAUACAUUAGCAUGGAAUAAUGAAAUAGGACGGAUUGAUUCUAUUUCGUUGGUUUCUAGGAUCACCGUAAUGAUUAAUAGGGAUAGUUGGGGGCAUUAGUAUUCAAUUGUCAGAGGUGAAAUUCUUGGAUUUAUUGAAGACUAACUACUGCGAAAGCAUUUGCCAAGGAUGUUUUCAUUAAUCAAGAACGAAAGUUAGGGGAGCGAAGACGAUCAGAUACCGUCGUAGUCUUAACCAUAAACUAUGCCGACUAGGGAUCGGACGAAGUUAAUUUUAUAAUGACGCGUUCGGCACCUUACG